UGGCUCAGAACGAACGCUGGCGGCAGGCCUAACACAUGCAAGUCGAGCGCRCCUUCGGGUGAGCGGCGGACGGGUGAGUAACGCGUGGGAAUAUGCCCUUUGGUACGGAAUAGUCCUGGGAAACUGGGGGUAAUACCGUAUGCGCCCUUCGGGGGAAAGAUUUAUCGCCAAAGGAUUAGCCCGCGUUGGAUUAGGUAGUUGGUGGGGUAAUGGCCUACCAAGCCGACGAUCCAUAGCUGGUUUGAGAGGAUGAUCAGCCACACUGGGACUGAGACACGGCCCAGACUCCUACGGGAGGCAGCAGUGGGGAAUCUUAGACAAUGGGGGCAACCCUGAUCUAGCCAUGCCGCGUGAGUGAUGAAGGCCCUAGG
rnacentral:rRNA from 1 species